rnacentral:rRNA from 1 species
GACGAACGCUGGCGGCGUGCCUAAUACAUGCAAGUUGAGCGCUGAAGGUUGGUACUUGUACCGACUGGAUGAGCAGCGAACGGGUGAGUAACGCGUGGGGAAUCUGCCUUUGAGCGGGGGACAACAUUUGGAAACGAAUGCUAAUACCGCAUAAAAACUUUAAACACAAGUUUUAAGUUUGAAAGAUGCAAUUGCAUCACUCAAAGAUGAUCCCGCGUUGUAUUAGCUAGUUGGUGAGGUAAAGGCUCACCAAGGCGAUGAUACAUAGCCGACCUGAGAGGUUGAUCGGCCACAUUGGGACUGAGACACGGCCCAAACUCCUACGGGAGGCAGCAGUAGGGAAUCUUCGGCAAUGGACGAAAGUCUGACCGAGCAACGCCGCGUGAGUGAAGAAGGUUUUCGGAUCGUAAAACUCUGUUGGUAGAGAAGAACGUUGGUGAGAGUGGAAAGCUCAUCAAGUGACGGUAACUACCCAGAAAGGGACGGCUAACUACGUG